rnacentral:misc_RNA from 1 species
UCCGGCUUAUCACCGGCAGUCCCUCUAGAGUGCCCAACUUAAUGAUGGCAACUAAAGGCAAGGGUUGCGCUCGUUGCGGGACUUAACCCAACAUCUCACGACACGAGCUGACGACAGCCAUGCACCACCUGUGCACAGGCCCCGAAGGGCUGCCAUAUUUCUACGACAUUCCUGUGCAUGUCAAGCCUUGGUAAGGUUCUUCGCGUUGCGUCGAAUUGAACCACAUGCGCCGCUGCUUGUGCGGGCCCCCGUCAAUUCCUUUGAGUUUCAGCCUUGCGGCCGUACUCCCCAGGCGGGGCACUUACUGCGUUAGCGACGGCACCGGGAGGGUCGCUCCCCCCGACGCCUAGUGCCCAUCGUUUACGGCGUGGACUA